UACGGAGGGGGCUAGCGUUGUUCGGAAUUACUGGGCGUAAAGCGCGCGUAGGCGGUUUCUUAAGUCUGAUGUGAAAGCCCACGGCUCAACCGUGGAGGGUCAUUGGAAACUGGGAGACUUGAGUGCAGAAGAGGAGAGUGGAAUUCCACGUGUAGCGGUGAAAUGCGUAGAGAUGUGGAGGAACACCAGUGGCGAAGGCGACUCUCUGGUCUGUAACUGACGCUGAGGAGCGAAAGCGUGGGGAGCAAACAGG
rnacentral:rRNA from 1 species